rnacentral:rRNA from 1 species
AGUGAACGCUGGCGGUAGGCCUAACACAUGCAAGUCGAACGGCAGCACAGUAAGAGCUUGCUCUUACGGGUGGCGAGUGGCGGACGGGUGAGGAAUACAUCGGAAUCUACUUUUUCGUGGGGGAUAACGUAGGGAAACUUACGCUAAUACCGCAUACGACCUACGGGUGAAAGCAGGGGAUCUUCGGACCUUGCGCGAUUGAAUGAGCCGAUGUCGGAUUAGCUAGUUGGCGGGGUAAAGGCCCACCAAGGCGACGAUCCGUAGCUGGUCUGAGAGGAUGAUCAGGCACACUGGAAGUGGGACAAGGUCCAGACUACUACGGGAGGCUGCAGUCGGGAAUAUUGGCUCGUGGGCGCAAAUUUGAUACAACCCUACCGAGUAGGUGAAGAAGGCGUUCGGGUGGUAAAGGCCUUUUGGUGGGCAAGAAAAGCAGCAGGUUAAUACUCCGCCGUUCUGACGGCACCCAAAGAAUAAGCAGCCGCUGACUUGGUG